CACGAGGUAAUGACUUAAUGAUUUUCCCGAUUUCUGAUAUUCGGUGUGGAACACUUAAGCCUUUCUGAGGCCUGAUUAGCAAACAGUUUUAUUUCCCUUUGCAGAAGAGGAUGUAAUCAGUUGUUAGGUGGACAAUUCAGAAGUGCUUUAGGAUUUUUCACACUGCCGGUUUUAUAAUUUAGCGAUUAUGUAGCUUGAUGGUGAGAGUCAUUACUUUCAAGAAGUUUGGAAAUUGAACUAGUCCAGUGUUUCCCAGAACCUCAUCUAUUUACAAGCUAGAGAGUUUUUUUUUUUUUUUGCUAUUAAUACUCUAUAGUGGUUGAGGACAUAUAGUGUGUAACUGCAUUCAGAGCCCAGCUUUGUAAUUUACUAGCCAAAUGACCUUGUCAAUAUUACUUAACUUCUAUAAACCACAGUUUCCUUAUCUGCAAAAUGGGGGUGAUAAUGCUUUAUUUGUAGGAUGAUUGUGAAGUGUCUAUAAUGUUAUUAGUUCUCUAUCCCCAUCCUCCACUCUGAGGACUGGUUUUAGGUAUGUAUGGGGGAGGCUGGCCUACCACAGAUUUUAUCUACUCUUUCAAAAUAAUCACAAGUUAUGCACAUACUCUGUGCGAUGAGGCCAUCAAAGGAUGGCUGGAUAUGUAAUCAGUUUCUUUUCUCAAAUGCAGAGAGAGCCAAGGCACAGUCUGAAAAAUGAGAAUGAACACAUACACUGUUCUGUCUCAAAAUGUAAUAUUUUCUCCUCAUUGGAGGCUCAGAGGAAUCUUUGCAGAUUCUGCUGCAUUUACGGAAAUAUUCUUCUUUAAUAAUAAUUAGUGUGUGGCCCUGAUGACCAAACAGAUGACUAUGGAGGUUCAGAGCUCCCUUUGAGAAAUGGAAUACAGCUGAUUGACAGUCUCAAGCUGUCAUACCCCUGCAUUCUUUCUGAACCAAUUAUACCACUAGGCUGUUCCCACCCAAUGACGUAGCCGGGCAUGUACACUGGCAUAGGACCAUUUGCCUGUUGAAAGAUUCCUCUAAUGGGUAACUUUUGUUCAGGACACCCCAUAGUCCUAGCCAAGACUUUUCUUAGAGAAGCUCUGUAAGCUCAGACUCUUCCAGAUCAAUUCUUCCUUUUUCCUCUCCUUUUACAGAUAUAAAACUUACACUGUGAUCUGAAGGCUUGUCCUGCCUACUUCUUCUCCAGCUUCUUUUAUCUGUCACAGACUGUAUUAGUCUGUUUGCAUGCUGCUGAUAAAGGCAUACCCAAGACUGGGCAAUUUACAAAAGAUAGUGGUCGAGUGUACUUACAGUUCCACGUGGCUGGCUUCACAAUCAUGGUGGAAGGCAAGGAGGGGCAAGUCAUGUCUUACAUGGAUGGCAGCAGGCAAAAAGAGAGCUUGUGCAGGUAAACUCUCAUUUUUAAGACCAUUAGAUCUCAUGAGACUUAUUCACUGUCACAAGAACAGUACAGGAAAGACCUGCCCCCAUGAUUCAAUCAUCUCCCACUGGGUCCCUCCCACAACACAUGGGAAUUCAAGAUGAGAUUUGGGUGGGGACACAGCCAAACCAUAUCACAGACAUUUCAUCCAAUAAAUCUUUUGUACAUAUAAUCCUGUCUUGGCUUCUACUUCUUAGAAGACCUGAACAGACACAGUUGGAACCAGGAGUGAUCAGAGAAAACAGCUAGUAAGAUAAGGUCUGCAGGCCUGGACUGAUGGUGGAGGAUGGGGUGUCACUUAACCAUUAGAAGCCAGGGAGUCACGAUGACCAUAGUGACCAGCAAGCUUGGAAGAGCAGCCAAAGAGUCUUGGCCUACAGAAAGUUGUGAAGAUGGUUAAUAGAACCUAACUCCUUUAGGGG
rnacentral:lncRNA from 10 species